CUUCUCGCGCUUCUAUUGAUGUCUCUCUUUCUCUCUCUCUCUCAGCGCGCGCAUAUAUUGACGAUUCACAGAUACUCAAAACUCCCCUUAUGCGAAUUUGAAAAUCACGAGACGAUUUUUCAUCGAUUAAAAAUUAAAGCACUUUGUUACGGCUGGGCAGACGGAAAGAUACGUCCGUACCAACAAUGACAAAUACGUCUAGUGAUUAUAACGCGAUAAUUUACGUAUUUGUUUAUUGUGUCUACCCUUCCGAAUGCGAGGUUCAUGUUUGUUUAACUCGCGAGGUUAAUCCAUCGUGGUUUAGUCCCGGCGAAAUGAAAGUUGGGAAGAGGGAUGCCACGUCCUGUUUCGUGGGGUAUGAACCGUAUAAACCGUAAUGUUUAAUUCCGGCGAUUGUCCCCUCGAGGAUUUCGCGAUGCCACCCCUGCGCGGCGUACGCGCGCGCGCGCGCUUUUAACGUUAGCAACGCGUGUUCCUCCCCGACGUGCGCGUUUUAUUUUCUUCGGGCUCACGACUUUAAAUAUAUCGUAUCUUUAAGCGUGGCAAAGGUAUCCGAAUCGAGGGGAGGGGGAGAAUUCGCGCGCGCGAUACAGGUACACGCAAUUGAGUCGAAGUUAAUCGCUUCAUUCGGUGGCGAAACCGCGCGCCGAAAGCUUCAAAGCGACGGGCGCGCCCGCGCGCGCGUGUCGUAUCGACCCUUCACCAUUGGAUGACGCAUCCUCCAAUGACCGGCCGGCCCGGCGAUUACGUCACUCCGGGGUAUUAUUGACGCCGGACGUGUUCAACGGCGUCGCACUGCCGCGUUUCUCCGGGGGCCGUCCCUCCGUGUCUCGCGACCUCGCGGGGUCGUCCUAGGGGGGUUGCGUAACGUUCACGGUGGUGCGAGAUCGCGGGUAGGUAGGUUCAACCCUUUUCGGGGGAGAACCUCAACUACCCGGCGCCCCAGCUGGACGAGAUACGGCGGCGCUUUCCGCGGCGAGGAUCAAAUCCCCGUUGCGGUCCGCAACAUACGUGCGUCGUCUUGAAAAUGGAUUAUCCUUUUGAGUUAUGAUCCCUUACACCUAGAAGGAGGAGGAAUCCCGCAGGGAUGUAGGGGAAAAGGAUGUUAUUACAGAUGUAGGAGAAGAGAGAAAGCCCAUCUCGUUACAUCUCGACGUGGCAUUUACCCGUACGCAAAGACGAUUGUGCGUUUAAAACGGGAGGAACUCGUCCGAGAAGCGUGAGCUUCACUGCGGGUGCGAGAUUAUUGGGGCGAAGUGGCGCAAUACGGAACACGCAUUGCCGUGUUUUGGCCUUCUCCGCUUUUCUCGCUCAAUUUCAGGAAUGCGAUCUUUAUGUCGCCCGACGAGCGUGCCGUGCAAACAAACCACACUCAGAAAAAAAUGUAGCACCAGAUAAUACAAUUGUGGAGUGCUCGUCUACAAAUAAUAGUACAAAUAGGGAUAGAGAUAAAUUGUAAUAAAUAAAUCUAAAAAAUUGUUCUAAGAAACUUGUCUUAAAUCAAUUGACAAACUGCUUAAAACUGUAAAAUAUUGCAGCAUUAAUAAAGCCUAAAAGAUUUGUAAUUUUAAAUAAUUUUAUUGCAAUUUAUUGCAUUUGUUGUGAAAAUAUAGUAGCGUUUGACUUAAAAAAUCUACCACAUUUAAUAAAACUUCGCGCAACAAGAUGUAGUAAAUGCUUAUAGGCAUAUAUGUAAACUAUAAUAAUAACCUGUAGCAAUCUUUAAUUCAACUUGCAGGCCUAUAAAUGCUUUUGUAGAAAACAUAUCAACGAUUAUUGUAAAGCAGUUUAUUAUUUAUAGUAAAGUGUUUAAGAGAUUUAAAGUAAAGUAAACAAAUUGUAUUCACAGUAACUAUAAACUAAUGAUAAAACAAGCAAUACGUUACUACAAAUUAAUGUUAGCUGUUUUAAAUAUUUAAAAUAUUAUUUUAUGGAGUACUACAAUAACGCAAUAAAUUUUAACUGAAUUUUAUAGCAUAAUUUCAUAACUAAUGUAUAACAAGUUAUUUUUAAUGUAUUAUAAUUAUCUAAAACGCUAUAGAUAAAUGUUUUAUAUCUUAUUAAUAAAAUUUAUUUGCGUGUUUGUUUCAUAAAGUCACAGUUUUUGUGUUUACAUGUAACAAAAUAAAUUUACUACAAAAUUAUGGCUAAUCUGUGUAUUUUAUAUUUUCUAUUACAUUACAAUUUAAAGUUAUCUAUCUGACAAAAUAAAAUCUACAAUGUUGUAUUAGUUUUUUCCGAGAGAUUUUUCUCGGUGCACAUCUCGCAUUUUCCCUCUUUCUCCUUCGCGAGGAAGGGGAGACGGAAGCGCGAACUUUCAUCUGGUCUGAAAUUAAAGUUUCGAAGAUGCAAAUCAGCAUUUCAUGCGGACGGAGACUUGCCGAACGGAUCGAUACCCCAUCUAUUUUCUAAGAUUGAACCGUGCCACCGCUUAAAAACCCAACUUCUCAGCGCAAAUUUCUUAGCCACAAAGUCAGUACCUGAAGAUGACCAAACUCCGAUUAACUUAAUCGGCGAUUAAUUCGGUUGGGAGAAUCCGGCUUAAAGUAAAGUUUUUAUCUAUACAAAUUUUCAGUUUAUUAAUCCUCUCUUAUUUCCUACAUUUAAAAGAAAUAAUUUUAUGUUGAUAAAAUAUUACAAGCAUUACUCGAUAAGUUAAUCAUUAUUAAAUAAGUUAAUCAAAGUUUCUAUUGAAUUCUACCAAUGAAGAUUAACUUUCAUGUAGGUUUAAACUUAUUUUCUGCCUUCUUCUAAUUCUUAGAUUAAAAUUAAUCUACACUGGUAGAAACGACCCUAAUUCUUUAUUCAGUCGAGCGUCUCUCCUUACAUUAUUUGUUUUGGACAGUUAAUAUUUAUGAUGACACCUCAAAUCCGUUUUACAUCCGCUGGUCCAGAGAUUCAAGACAGAACUUUGACCCUAGACCACGAAGCAAAUUUCAAAAAUAAGAAUGAAAAACUCGAGAAGAAGAGACUCCAUCGUGCUAUCUUAUUAACGAUUAUCUCGUAAAAAUAGGUGGAUAUUUUGAAGAGUUCAUUCGAUUUCGUUCAUAAGAUUCGUUACACUAUUGAUUGGCAACCAUUUAAAAGCGCGACGAGUUCCAAAGUCAAUUGUCACGCGAUAUCGAUCUCGCGCGCAUUGUUCCACUUUCGUAUCGUCGGUCGGUGUUUUAUAUAAUUGUUGGUGACGGGUAAACGCAGCACAGAUUGAAAAUGAUGACGGACCAGCAGCAGCCUUCGGGACAUUAGCCGGAGGGAAGAGGAGGGAGAGAGGGAGGAGGGCGCCCCCCCCCCUUGAAUUAACGCGGCGUGUCGGACUUCCGUUGUGGCAAAUUGGUGAACGUUCUCCGGCGACUUACGAAAGAUUGAAUAAAGGGAGAGUGGCGUCACCGACUCGGAAUUCGGACCUCUCAGGUCCUCAGCAAGUGUAACAAUA
rnacentral:lncRNA from 1 species